rnacentral:rRNA from 1 species
CAGCAGCCGCGGGAAUACGUAGGGUGCGAGCGUUAAUCGGAAUUACUGGGCGUAAAGCGUGCGCAGGCGGUUAUGUAAGACAGUUGUGAAAUCCCCGGGCUCAACCUGGGGACUGCAUCUGUGACUGCAUAGCUAGAGUACGGUAGAGGGGGAUGGAAUUCCGCGUGUAGCAGUGAAAUGCGUAGAUAUGCGGAGGAACACCGAUGGCGAAGGCAAUCCCCUGGACCUGUACUGACGCUCAUGCACGAAAGCGUGGGGAGCAAACAGGAUUAGAUACCCCCGUAGUCCCUGUCUCUUAUAC